AUAGGACAGUAAAGUGACGAUUUUGCCCUCCUUUUUUCUCCAUUUGUUCUACAACGUUCUGCCCUUUUUUUUUUUUUUUUCCUUUCUCCUAUUGUUCUACAGGCCUCUCCUGCGAUCAAAAUAAUCUUGAGAGUUGAGAGAGAGAGAGAGAGAGAGAGAGAAAUAGCGUGUGUUUGUUUGCUUUGUGCGAAGAGAUGGAAAGAUCAAUUGUUGCUGCAAUCACGUAAUCAAUUGCGAACAAUUUGAGGAUCUUGCAGCCCAGGGUUGCGAUCUUCUAGCCCGUGUAGAGAUAGGAAGGGAUUGGUACAAUAGGAAGGGAUCAUCGCCAUUGUUGAAGAUCCACCUCCCAGGUCCAGUUCCCUUCCCUCUAACUCAUGUAUAUUUGUACAUAUAGCUUCAGUUUUGUUUAUAUCGUUCUUCGUCAAUGGUGUGUUUGAUUUGUUUGGAAAAGCUGAGAAACUAUACAAAAUUCAUUCGAGUCUUUCAGUUUUGGGUUGUACAGAGAAAACCCAAAAGUGAGUUCUGUAUGUUAGUCAAUCAAGUUGAAUUUUUUGAUCCUCUGAGAAGAAUUAGUAAUAAUAUAAUGGACCUUUUUUUUUUGUUGGUUUAAUUUUGGACGUGGUGUAUAUUAAGGUUUCAGUUCUGUACAACAGUGUUUUAUUUUCGAUGUUGAGAUUAAGUGUCGAUUAGGGUUAAGUAGAAAAUUAGAGGCAGGAAACAGUACUAAUUAAGCUUUAGGUUUUAAGUAUGGAUAGUGAUUAAGGUUGUUUACUUUCAUUGCUGUUUUGUUUGGCCUCUUCAAUUCUCACCCAAAAAAGAAAAAAGCUUUUUUUUUUUUUUUUUUUUUCUGAAACUAUUACUAUGGUUUUCUUGCUGUUAUUUUGUGUACUCAUGGUAAUUAGGUAUUGUGUAGUGUUGUUCUAAGUUGGAGAUUUUGUGUAUCCAUGGUCGGCAAGCUCUUACCUAACAACAACAUCACUCAUUGCUAGGAUUUUGGUUUAUGAACUUUCUCUAUAUUUCCUUUGCUUGAUUCUGUUUUCAGCUUUAGUUGUACAUACUUUGUUGCUAAGCUUUGCAUUUGUAAUUUGGUGAAGACAUUGGGGAUUCAAAAUGUGUUUUUAACUUAACAUGAGCAUUGACUUUUGAGGCUUCAAGAAGAACUACAAGUACCUUUUGACGAGACUCACCCUGUAUGCCUCUAUCCUGUUUUGUGGCUCUUACCUUCCUUAUUUAUGAAGUGCACAAAAAAUAAGUUGGUACUAAUUUUAUAAAAUUCAAAGUGAAGGCAUCUUUCAGAGAUUAUUGUUCAAGCAAGGUGGGAGUCGAGCAACUUGGGAAUACCCAUUUGCUGUUGCUGGCAUAAACAUAUCAUUUAUGUUGAUUCAAUUGCUGGCUCUUGGGUCAGCAAGACCAAGGUGUCUUCCCGGGAUAAAUUUCUUGCACUUAUUAGGAGGUCAAGAAAUUUACACCUCACACUAUUAGGCGGUGAUGAUCGACUAUGUUUAAUAAUGUGAUAUUCAACCUCCUGCAUCUAAUACUUAUGAAAUGUAUGCAAAAGAUGAAGCUGCUUCUGAUGUAUUGUUCCGUAUAGCUUUUGACUUGGUCGAUGCUCAGUGGCUUGCUAUGAAUGCAUCCUGCAUGCAGUUUAAUAUGACUAACUUAUAGGGCUUUCAAUUCCUUCAAGAUGUUCUGCAAGCAACGCGGACGUAGUUGGAAAGAGAACCAUCUUUAGAAGAUAUCAAGAGUAUAUAAGAUUUACCAACUUAUAGUCUGUUGUACCAGUAGCUUUUUGGUAGUACAGAAAAACAUUAGCACUGUGCUUGGACUCGGAGAAAUUUCAAUGAAUUCAUAGGGUUACCAUGACAACAACGCUUUGCAUAAAACAAUGGGACAUCUUUUUCAUGGCCUCAUUUCCACUUUGAUAUCCGUUAUGAUUUUAUCUGAGUUCCCAUUGGAUUCAAUUUGGUAUUUUAACAUUUGCUAGUGGAUCUUAAUAGCAAGCAAAGUUUUCAGAGACACAGUUGGCUAAACUCAAGUACAUUUCGUGGUUCCGAUUCACAUCCCGCAGCAAAGCGCGGGCGCCGUUUCUAGUAUCAGCUAGAGUUCUUGGGGUUCCAGAAAAGGUCUAUUAAGGUAAUUAGUUUAGGUAUCCUAGUAUCAGUGCAUAGGAUGCUAUCCUUAAUUGGCCAAGGGAUUCCUCAAAAUGAAGAGAAACUUGGGCCACAAAGAGGACUACGUAUACAAGAAUGUACCAAUCUUGACCAUCAUUCCAGAGUGUAUUUACAAAAGCUACUUCAGCUAUGGGCAAGACACUUGGAACAAAAUUCUCAACCACAGCUAUGAUUUUUCCUCAAGCUUCAUACUCUACAUUGUGCAGGCUGCAAACAUCUCCCUGCAUCUGGUUUUACUUUUAUCC